UCCAGUGGGUCUGGAUGCGACAGUAAAUUUAACCUCGCGCAAAUUCGUACUUGCCUGUGUGACCGCGGUGGCAGUUGCUGCUCCUCAAAAGAGUAGUGAUGUCCAGAUCCUUCGCUACGAAAUCGACGACAUUGCCGUGUGAGGCUACAGAUUUGGCUAUGAACAAGGCGACGGUCAAAGGCGCGAUAAACAAGGUAGUUUGCAGAACGAAGGUCACAAGGACGAAUCCAUUGCUAUGAAAGGACCUUCCUUCCUUUCCGCUACUCCUG